GAUGAACGCUGGCGGCGUGCCUAAUACAUGCAAGUCGAGCGGAUGGAUUAAGAGCUUGCUCUUAUGAAGUUAGCGGCGGACAGGUGAGUAACACGUGGGUAACCUGCCCAUAAGACUGGGAUAACUCCGGGAAACCGGGGCUAAUACCGGAUAACAUUUUGAACCGCAUGGUUCGAAAUUGAAAGGCGGCUUCGGCUGUCACUUAUGGAUGGACCCGCGUCGCAUUAGCUAGUUGGUGAGGUAACGGCUCACCAAGGCAACGAUGCGUAGCCGACCUGAGAGGGUGAUCGGCCACACUGGGACUGAGACACGGCCCAGACUCCUACGGGAGGCAGCAGUAGGGAAUCUUCCGCAAUGGACGAAAGUCUGACGGAGCAACGCCGCGUGAGUGAUGAAGGCUUUCGGGUCGUAAAACUCUGUUGUUAGGGAAGAACAAGUGCUAGUUGAAUAAGCUGGCACCUUGACGGUACCUAACCAGAAAGCCACGGCUAACUACGUGCCAGCCGCCGCCGUAA
rnacentral:rRNA from 1 species